rnacentral:misc_RNA from 1 species
AUGAUUGAUGCAUUGCGUCUUCCCUAUGAGAGGAAAGAAUAAUUAACAGUGAUUGGUGAAUCUUUACCAUACCUAAGAUGCAGAACCAAAAUUAAAACUUAACAGUUCUGGUUAAGUUCAAAUAAAAACUCCUCAAAAGAAAGUUCAAAUAAAAACUAAUACUCUAAACUAUAGAUGAAAGCAACAAAUGUCAUCUCAAUCAUUAGAAUGAAAUCACAGUUUCAAAAAGUAAUAGGUUUUUUGCGAGCAUAAGCAGAGAAUUAAGCACGACAAUAAUAUUCCAUAUACAAAGAAUUAAUAGAUAGUAAGCCAAUUUAGCCCUUGUAUUUGCACCAAGGCUUAAUUAGUCAUAGAAAUAACCCUUGCGGGUUGCGGCCAAACUAAGAUUUAGUAUGGUAAAUUAGGUCAAUUUGGCACAAAAAUGAAAUGUGUGCCAAACGCACCCCAGAUCAAAUUUGGCAUUUUACAAUUUGGACCCCUAAGUUUAUAAAAGCUACAUUUUGGUCAUCUCUUUGUGCUUUUUAUCUCCCAACUUGGUCUCCCUUACUCCAUCCAUUUCUAUACCUUCCCUUCCAAAAAAACCACAAAAAUACAAAACAUAAUUAAAAAUUAAAAUAAAAAAUACCAUCAAUUCUUUUUUUAGUACCUCAGUUUCCCCUUCAAACUGAAAUCAGAAACAACAAAUUAAAUAAAUAUUCAAUAAUUCCAAAAUCAAAAAUAGUAUGUAAAAAAUAUUUUCCUUAGAGAACAAUACUUUUUAAAAAGUCUUUAAAAAAUAAUGAUUUAAUUGUUAUUUUCAUAAAGUAUCAAUGACUAAAAUGUAAUUUGCCAACCCUCACACACCUUUGUUAUGUUGUGUGUCUAACAAUAUGUUUGAAUGUAGUGUAUGGAGGUUUUUAAAUUAGAGAUAAGGUAAGGUAAUGGAAGAUAAAGUAUCAAAAUCUCCCAAAUCCACCAAUUUGAUAGAUUGAAAAAGUGGGAGUUUUGGAGGUUUUGAAACCUCCA